GAGGUCAGGAGCAGGGCCCUCCCCUGCCUGGUGGGCAGCGGGUGGGGGCAGUCGGGCCACAGCCCUUCUGACCUGCCCAGCCCCAGAAGAAAAGCAAGCGGGGGCUGCCCCUGGACCUCCUAAAAUCCUGGCUGUUGGAGCAUUUUCCUCCAGACUGACCUUCCCUACACGGAGAUGGAAAUGAGCCGCGGUAGCCCUUGGCCCUGAACUCGGCUGGCUGCCUGCUCCUGUGGCCUGGCUUCAGGAAACAGGAGGAGGAAGCCCAAGGCAAGGCCUCUUCGUGCAGGCAUGGCCGCUCCCCAGGCCAGAAGCGCAGACGGAACCAGAAGACGCCUUCUACAAGCCGAGGGAAGCGCAGUCGUGUUGGCGAUAAAAGGCCUGAUGCGUCAGGGAACUGCAGAAAGCAAUCUGGAGGAAAACAGGUUCCUUGCGCCCCUUCACGGGAAGAUCAGCUCAUGGGUAGGGAAUGUGAUUUUGAAUCUGGACGAUGGUGACGUCUGUUGCUUUAUUCCAGGCAGCUGCCAAGCAAUCAGCAGACGGCAGGGACCGCCAGGCAUACCAGGACAUGACCUGCCACGUCCCCACUGUGAGCCAACGCUGGCUUAGGCUUGAGCCGGGCUGCAGGUCUUGAACCUCCCACAUCUCUGGGCAAAUCCAAGGACCUCGCAGUGACUCCAUAGCCUGCCCCUUGUCCUAAGGCCUCCUUCUCACCAUGAUGCCGACUGCGGCCCCUCCCAACUCCACACCUGCAGGGACUCACCAGUGUCAGGCUUGGGCAGAAUCCUCUUCUCCCAAGUGACCCAGGGGCAGUAUCCCCACAGCCCGCAGAUUCCUUCUGCAUCACCCUCACAGUGAGGCCACCGGACAGUGACGUCGGGCUGAUUCCCCGACUCUGCUGGCUCCGUUUCCUUCUGUGGCACAGCUCACCCUGUGGCUUAUGGACCCUGUGGCUUAUUGAUUAUGUUUACCGUUUGUUUCCCCCAGAACGCGAGCCUCACGAGGGAGGAGCGCCGUCUCUCACCUCUGCCUCUGAAGGGCAAACGCGCCACAGGGAAGUUACAUAAAGUCGAAGGAAUUUCAAGACCGAGAAAAAAGACCUAUUCAGUGGAAGCUAGCGAGUUCAUUGCUGAUGGUGCAGUCUGAUUUAUCUAGAAGAAAGGACCGAAGGGGAAAGGGCAGCCCUGCAGUCG